UGAACUGCCCUAUCCCGCCUGGGCGCAGAGAGCCGCGGCCGCGCCAGCCCAAGGGCGUCCACCUACGUACCGGCCCCUGACCCCGCCGCCGCCCCUCUCAGGCCCGGAGCGCAGGGCCCACCCGAAGCGCGUCGCGGCUGGAGGUGACACCGCGAGCCAUCACGCCUUUCCCUGGGUUAGGAUGUCGCAGUGGCUGCCUCUGACCCUUCCCCGCGAAAACCUCACCCCGACUCCCACCUCUCUAGCCACAGCCGCGGCCGUCUCGCAGCCUUUCCUCUUCGGCCUGAGAGCCCGCAGCGGCCGGGAACGCGCGCGGCGGUCACAUGACCGCCCGUCGCGUCGCGGGGGGGCGGGGCCGCGCGGGGCGGAAGUAGAGCCUUGUACUGGGGCUCUCGCGCCAGCCCCUCCGCUCUGUUUCCUCGCGACCCAGUCCUCAGGCGAGCGGUUGGGUACUUACUUUUUCCUGCCUUUGGAGACCUGCAGUUUCUCCCUGGAUCGUUCUAACUGCUUUGUAUUAUGCUUUACUUGUAAUUAGGUGCCGAAGAUUGAAAGAGUGCAGGUCCACUAGAGAGAGAUUUGGGGCAAAGGAAGUAAGACGCGUGUAGAACCAGCAGGUGGUGCUGCUCAGAAGCCCCGCUUCGAGACUCAAGAGAAGCCUUUGGGCGCCUAGCUGGAUUUUGGGGUGCAGAGGCCUUGGCAGAGUACUGCUUGUUCUCUUAACAACCACAACAAAGGGGUCCUUUGAGAGUUCUAUCUAGUUUAUUCACCGUCCGAAGGGUUGAGCAAUUUAAUCGGAAAAAAAUAGAUCUUAAUUUCCUUUUGGACCCAUUUUUCUUAGACUAGAGCAUAGGAAGCUGAAGAAGAGAUCAAUCAGCAGAAGAAUCUAAAACUAAAGGAAUGGCUUAUCUUGUUGCAUUCGUGUGGUUUAAACGCCAAAACCUUGGCAGUAUCCUCCAUUACAUUUUAGCAUAUACAUUGUCUUUCUUGGAACUGACUAUAUUUUCUCAAUUUAUAGUAAAAUGAGGAGGGUGGAAUAGCAUGCGUUUUGUCUUUAAAAGAGUAUAUAUUCCAACAUUCCAUGGCAGUAUCUUACUUUCAGUACUGUUGCAUUUUGAAAUGUCAUAAGCUGUUCACUUAAGGCUGGAAAUUUUUAGUGUCCAUAUAUAUAGACAUGUUUACAUUUUCUUUUAUUCUUCUGAAAUCAAUAUAUUUCAAGGUUCUUAUAUAUAUCAAUAUAUAACUAGCUCUUGAAGAGUGCCAUCUAGCUCAAUGAUGCUUAAUGUAAGCAAAACAAGAUUUUUUUACAACUUCUCUAAGUGUAAUAAUGUUGAAGAGUAUGUUCUCCAGCUUUAAGCUUAAUCCUGUCUUUAUGUUCUCCUUAGCCAUCCAGUCUUACCCCUCUAUCCUACACACCCCAUGAACAAAUAAUACUAAAAAUUUGAUAUAUACUUGAAGAUGCCAGCUUUAAGAUAUAAUAUUAAUAUUAACUAACUGAAUGCCAUCAUUCUAAGUGCUUUACACAUAUUAGCUCACAAUAAACUCUAAGGUAGGUACUAUUGUUAUUCCCAUUUUACAAAAACAGACACAGCUAGGAUUUGAAUCUAGGCAGGGACUGUAGGAGUUCACCUAAUUCAAUGCUUAUUUUAUCAAGUAAGAAAUAGAUAUAACAAGGUUAAAUGACUCACUUAAAGACUUUGUUGUUCAAGAUAGAAUGGGGUCAGAACACAAGCAUGUUUAUUGAUCCAUAAAUGCUUUUAGUUUAGAAAAAGUUAUUCACGAGUCUUGCAUUGCUCUAUGUGUAUAUUUAGAACAGUUUCUGCAAAUAAAUAUAAUUGAUACUCUAUCCGUCUACACAGAAGAAAAGAAUUAACAAGAAUCUCACUACAAUGCCCUUUCAGGCUUCAAAUUGUCUCUCAGCCACACCUAUAAUCUUUUAUCAGUGAAAAGCUCCAUCUUUCCAUAUCCAAAUCCAUCUUUAAUUCCUCUUUCUCUUAUGUCCCUUAUCCACUUUGCAAAUAAUCUGUUGAUUUUUCCUUCAAAACACAUUCAGAAAAUGGCUACUUACCACUUCUACACAACCUACAUCAUCUCUUGUUUGGAUUAUUGCAGUAGCCCAGGGACUGGUUUUCUUGCUUCUGUUCUUGCUUUCCUUUGAGUCUAUUCUCAACACAGAGGACAAAGUAAACUUACUAAAAGAAAGUCAGAUCAUACCACUCCUCUCUCUGUUCAGAGUCUCUCAUGGCCUCCUAAAACAAAGUAAAAACAAAAGUCUUUAAACAGGUACUGUGUUUAUACUUAAUGGAGUUAUUAUUUUUUUUAGUUUUUUUUUUUUUUAUUUUAGAGAGAGGGAGCAUGAGUGGGGGAGGGGUGGAAGGUAAGGGAGAGAAGCAGACUCUCCGCUGAGUGCAGAGCCCAAUGCAGGGCUCAAUCUCAGGACCCUAAGAGCAUGCCCUGAGCUGAAAUCAAGAGUCAGAUGCUUAAUCAACUGAGCCACCCAGGCACCCCAAUGGGGUUAUUUUUAUUUUAUUUUUUUUUUAAGAUUUUAUUUAUUUGACAGAGACACAGCGAGAGAGGGAACACGAGCAGGGGGAGUAGGAGAGGGAGAAGCAGGCUUCCCGCUGAGCAGGGAGCCUGAUGUGGCCCUUGAUCCUAGGACCCUGGGAUCAUGACCUGAGCUGAAGGCAGACGCUUAACGACUGAGCUACCCAGGCGCCCGUGGGGUUAUUUUUAAAUGAAUAAAUAUUUUAAAUAGUGCUCAGUUUUACUUUCUGAUGAACAUAUAUAAACAGCAGUUAAUUUUGAGUCUUCUAUAAUUUUAAAGAGUAUAAAGGGAUCCUAAGACCAAAAAGUUUGAGAACACUGGCCUUAGCCAAUUUCAUGUACCCACUCUAAGCUAGGUUUCUUCCUGCAUGCCCGCAAUCAUCUGAUAAGUGUUAUCAGUUGUGUGGACACAACUUUCUCAUAUGUCUGGAAACAGGAGAAACCAGAUUCAGAAAUGCACCUGUCAUUAUAGCUAGCAGAUGAAUACAAAUAAAGCCAAGGGGAAGUUUUGAAAUGCAAACUUUUCCAUCUCAAUUGAAGAUUUUGUUCCAAGAGCUAAUACAUAGCUUGGUCUCUGUCCUAACAUUUGAUGUCAUUCUACUUACAGUAAUCAAAUAAAAUAUACUUUCCCAGUAGAAUUCCCUUGUAAGUAAUAGUAUAGUAGACAGUUUUACUUGUGUUUUUCCUUUACCUAAUGUGAUAAUCAGUGCUCUCUCUUUGACUAGUUCUUAAUGUUCCUACUGCAGCCCCAGAAGUAACAACCAAAUUCUGACAAUUGUAUUCCUGGGAAAUAAUGCAACACAAAACAGUCACUGGGUCAAAAUUUUACAGUUUGACUGUAAAGUCAAGCAUGCCUUUCCUAACUGUUGUAUGAACACAUGAUGUAUGUAUUGAUUUUUAGAUGUCUUAUAUUGACAAUAUUAGCUAUUAUCUCCCAAAUCCCUGCUUGUUUUGUUGGAUGACAUGACCACUCAUUGAGUAUGGUAUUGAAAGAUAAGUGCUCUGUUUUAUUUUUUGACAGAAUCAUUUGUUGUUUUAAAGCUUGAUUAUUAUUUUAAUAAAACUGAAACUUGCACCAUAUUACAUAAAAGGAAGUAGUUUACAUUCAUACAGGCAGCAAAUAUGUUUUGCAAUAUCACAUUUUCCUCAAAAUGGCUAGGGUUUAGGGAAUCAAUGUUAAAUGGACUUAUAAUCAUGCAUAUUUGGGCUUUUGUUUAUUUGUGAAAUUAUAUGCAUAUCAGUUAUCAGCUUAAUAAAAUUAUAACCUAAAAACUUGAAAUACUUUGCAUAGCAGUGUAUCAGUCAGGGUCCUAUUUGGAACAUAGAAACCACCUUAGAUAUUUCAAACAGAGGGAACUUAAUGCAGUGAAUUGGUUGCAAGUUUUGAAAAAAUGGAGGAGCCAAGGAAGGAAGAUGAGGAUUCCGUGAAAUCAGGAACUAGAAAGUCACUAAGCUCUCCUGAGGUCAAAGGAGCAGAGGGCUUUCUGGUGUUCUCAGGACCACUCAUGUGUCCCUUAAGCUGCUGGUUGAACGGCUGCAAUAGUAAGCCAGGAGCUCAUAAGCUCACCGAGGCUGCAGGGAUCCAGGAAUUUAUGGCAAUUAGGAUUUACCUACCCCUGCCACUACCAGAGCCAGGACCAAGAAAAGAAUCAACUUCCCCCUUCCACCUCCUAUUUGCAUAUGAGUGUUUUCCAUUGGUAGAACUACACAGGAAACCAACAGUCAGCGGGUUCUGGAAAAUGACUCUCCAGCUCCCUUAGAUAUCAAGCAGAAUAGAGACGUGCCAGUGUGAGACUAGGCAUCAACAGAGAAGGUAUUUGCUGCUACUAGAACUAGUAUUGAGUUUUCCCUUUUGUUCUUCCUCGUCCUAUGGACCUUCCAUAAGGGGUCCACGAGAUGCUGAGAAACACUACACCAUUCUGAUAAAUGGAGCAUGAAACUGGACUAAGUCAGUGAGUAUAUACCAACCCAGGCUAAUGACUAUAAGAUGUGGGCAUUAGACCCAAGACAGUGCUAUCCUGAAAUUCUGGGACUUUUGCAGAGAGCUAUGGGACGCAGACCCUCUCCUCCUCUGGAUGGCAUCAAGUGCAGAGGUUACACCUUGGGCUGCCUCCUUCGUAUUGUUACCAUGAGGAAAACCAGCCUGAAGAUGAAACUGACAGGGACAGAACAACUGGACUGAGAGAAUGCCAGAAGCCUUAUGGAAGCACACUUCAGGGCUGCCUUUUCUCUGAAAUUCUCAAUUAUAGAAAUUUUUCGUACACUUUGGACUAACUGUGCAUUCUACGUGGAAUCCUGUUAUGGUCUGAAUGUUUGUGUCCCUGCAAGAUUUAAGUUGAAAUCCUAAAUUCCCAAAGGUGAAGGUAUUAGUAGAUGGGGACUUUGGGAGAAGAUGGAGUCAUGAGGGUAAAGCCCUCCUUAAUGGGAUUAGUGCUCUGGUAAAAGAUGCCCCACAGAACUCCCCAGCCCUUCUGCUUGUGAGGAUGCAAGGAGAGGUCUGCAACUUCGAAGAGAGCUCACCCAACCAUGCUGGCACCCUGAUUUCACUUUAGAGCCCUCAGAACUGGGCACCUGGGUGGCUCAGUCGUUAAGCAUCUGCCUUCGGCUCAGGUCAUGAUCCCAGGGUCCUGGGAUCGAGCCCCGCAUCGGGCUCCCUGCUCCACGGGAAGCCUGCUUCUCCCUCCCCCAUUCCCCC